rnacentral:rRNA from 1 species
GACGAACGCUGGCGGCAUGCUUAACACAUGCAAGUCGAACGAGAAUCUGUGGAUCGAGGAUUCGUCCAAGUGAAGCAGAGGACAGUGGCGGACGGGUGAGUAACGCGUGAGGAACCUGCCUUUCAGAGGGGGAUAACAGUUGGAAACGACUGCUAAUACCGCAUAACGCGUAGAGGUCGCAGUGGGGAAUCUUGCGCAAUGGGCGAAAGCCUGACGCAGCCAUGCCGCGUGAAUGAUGAAGGUCUUAGGAUUGUAAAAUUCUUUCACCGGGGAAGAUAAUGACGGUACCCGGAGAAGAAGCCCCGGCUAACUUCGUGCCAGCAGCCGCGGU